CUCUCCAUGUGGAGGAGCAGCAGCUUUACUUUGAGCUCCUCCCGGAUGACAGAGCUUCUCACCCUAUCUCUAAGGGAGAGACCCGCCACCCGGCGGAGGAAACUCAUUUGGGCCGCUUGUACCCGUGAUCUUGUCCUUUCGGUCAUAACCCAAAGCUCAUGACCAUAGAUUGUUACUACGGGGUGUGGUGUGUGGGACUGUGAGGACAAACAUGAAUUGAUUGAGGAACCAAAAGGAGGUGACCAGGUUCUACUUUAUCUGUCGGACACGUUGGGCGGCAGUGGCGUACCACCGUCACGCCAGGAAUGCAACGGUGGCACAAAGGAGGAGGACAACAGUGGGCGGGUUAAUCCCUGCUGGGCUCGGACAUGUGCCUCCACCAG